rnacentral:sRNA from 1 species
CAUAAUUUAGUUACACCAUCAAAGCCUUGAGAAUCAAGAAGUAGCUUGGUUAGUGUUUUGGAGUCAAAUAUUAUUAGAUGUCAUGUGUAUGAGUGAGUAUGACAACUAGAACCAUAAUCGGACCUUAAAAUCCUAAGUAUUGAAUCUUUGUAAGAAGAUACAAAGACAAAGACUCAUACGGACUUCGACUACACUAUCAAUGCUUUGAGAAGCAAGAAGAAGCUUGGUUAAUGUUUUGGAGUCGAAAAUAACUUGAUGUGAUGUGUAUGAUUAAGUAUAAGAACUUAAACCGCAACCGAAGCUUAAAGGCCUAAGUAGUGUUUCCUUGAUAGAAGAUACAAAGGCAUAGACUCAUACGGAGUUUAGCUACACCAUCAAAGCUUUGAGAAGUAAGAAGAAGCUUGGUUACUGUUUAUGAGUCAAAUAUGACUAGAUGUCAUGUGUAUGAGUGAAUAUAACAACUAGAACCGCAAUUGGAUUUUAAGAGCCUAAGUAUUGUAUCCUUGUAAGAAGAUACAAAGACAAACACUCAUACGCACUUCGGCUACACCAUCAAAGCUUUGAGAAGGAAGACAAGCUUGGUUAGUGUUUUGGAGUCGAAAAUGACUUGAUGUGAUGUGUAUGAUUGAGUAUAAGAACUUAAACUGCAACCGGAGCUUAAAAGUCUAAGUAGUGUUUCCUUGAUAGAAGAUACAAAGGCAAAGACUCAUACAGAGUUUAGCUACACCAUCAAAGCUUUGAGAAGUAAGAAGAAGCUUGGUUACUGUUUAGGAGUCAAGUAUGACUAGAUGUCAUGUGUAUGAGUGAGUAUAACAACUAUAACCGC